GGCCUAACACAUGCAAGUCGAACGGUAACAGGAAGCAGCUUGCUGCUUUGCUGACGAGUGGCGGACGGGUGAGUAAUGUCUGGGAAACUGCCUGAUGGAGGGGGAUAACUACUGGAAACGGUAGCUAAUACCGCAUAACGUCGCAAGACCAAAGAGGGGGACCUUCGGGCCUCUUGCCAUCGGAUGUGCCCAGAUGGGAUUAGCUAGUAGGUGGGGUAAAGGCUCACCUAGGCGACGAUCCCUAGCUGGUCUGAGAGGAUGACCAGCCACACUGGAACUGAGACACGGUCCAGACUCCUACGGGAGGCAGCAGUGGGGAAUAUUGCACAAUGGGCGCAAGCCUGAUGCAGCCAUGCCGCGUGUAUGAAGAAGGCCUUCGGGUUGUAAAGUACUUUCAGCGGGGAGGAAGGGAGUAAAGUUAAUACCUUUGCUCAUUGACGUUACCCGCAGAAGAAGCACCGGCUAACUCCGUGCCAGCAGCCGCGGUAAUACGGAGGGUGCAAGCGUUAAUCGGAAUUACUGGGCGUAAAGCGCACGCAGGCGGUUUGUUAAGUCAGAUGUGAAAUCCCCGGGCUCAACCUGGGAACUGCAUCUGAUACUGGCAAGCUUGAGUCUCGUAGAGGGGGGUAGAAUUCCAGGUGUAGCGGUGAAAUGCGUAGAGAUCUGGAGGAAUACCGGUGGCGAAGGCGGCCCCCUGGACGAAGACUGACGCUCAGGUGCGAAAGCGUGGGGAGCAAACAGGAUUAGAUACCCUGGUAGUCCACGCCGUAAACGAUGUCGACUUGGAGGUUGUGCCCUUGAGGCGUGGCUUCCGGAGCUAACGCGUUAAGUCGACCGCCUGGGGAGUACGGCCGCAAGGUUAAAACUCAAAUGAAUUGACGGGGGCCCGCACAAGCGGUGGAGCAUGUGGUUUAAUUCGAUGCAACGCGAAGAACCUUACCUGGUCUUGACAUCCACGGAAGUUUUCAGAGAUGAGAAUGUGCCUUCGGGAACCGUGAGACAGGUGCUGCAUGGCUGUCGUCAGCUCGUGUUGUGAAAUGUUGGGUUAAGUCCCGCAACGAGCGCAACCCUUAUCCUUUGUUGCCAGCGGUCCGGCCGGGAACUCAAAGGAGACUGCCAGUGAUAAACUGGAGGAAGGUGGGGAUGACGUCAAGUCAUCAUGGCCCUUACGACCAGGGCUACACACGUGCUACAAUGGCGCAUACAAAGAGAAGCGACCUCGCGAGAGCAAGCGGACCUCAUAAAGUGCGUCGUAGUCCGGAUUGGAGUCUGCAACUCGACUCCAUGAAGUCGGAAUCGCUAGUAAUCGUGGAUCAGAAUGCCACGGUGAAUACGUUCCCGGGCCUUGUACACACCGCCCGUCACACCAUGGGAGUGGGUUGCAAAAGAAGUAGGUAGCUUAACCUUCGGGAGGGCGCUUACCACUUUGUGAUUCAUGACUGGGGUGAAGUCGUAACAAGGUAACCGUAGGGGAACCUGCGGUUGGAUCACCUCCUUACCUUAAAGAAGC
rnacentral:rRNA from 1 species